GAGUUAGCUGGGAGGAGGAAACAUUACAGUAUAUUUCACAUUUAACGAUUUUACUAUUGGAAUUGUGUAGUCAAAGCUACCCAACAGAGGGAGGAAUAGUAGCCUUGCUUGCUUUUUAUUGACCAGAGGCAUAUUCUACAAAUAAUACAAUAAUCUCCUGCAUAUUCACAGUUCACCAUUCAUUACUUCACUGAUUUGCAUUUUUUUCUGUUGGAACCUAUCCACAGCUACAGUAUUCGCUGAAAGAUGUACGUAUUCUCGGUUUUUGUGCUCUUUCUGAAACCCCCUAAAAUGCUGCCAAAGUCCUGUCUGCAUAUACAAAUGGACAAACUCGAUUUAACAGACCAGGAACUAACGGACUUCGGAUUUAACGGACAAAAUGGUAGUGUCCCGUUAGAAAGCAAAACGCCCCCUUGCAAUCGACCAAGACUCUUCAUUCCAGAAAUGGCCGCUACUGUUUAGUGGCGCAAUAAACAGACAGAGAGUGGUACCUGUAUUUCUUACAUUUCUCUCGAACGUGGUGUACUGAUUUGGGUACAGCAUACAAUUGUUUUUUGUCAAGACCUUCACGAUGGCAUCCAAUUGUAACGGAGGUGAGAAAAGGAAGUGCACUUUCCUCGUGGCUCCUGAAAGCGACGCUGACUCGCCACCGUGGCACAACUUUCUCCCAGCAGCACGCCAUUAUCACCCCUCCCAAGCACCAGUGAUAACGGCACCUUAAUGGCAGUAUUAGACCAUCACAGCGAUGUUUAAAGUAAUUGUUCGUGUCGCCGGUGUCAAGGAAGUAUGUGUCAGUGAUACAUCUCGACGAAGAGACAAGCUUUCAAUGUCCAGGAGAAGCCAAGUUUAGCCUCGGUUAUUCGUGGAAGUUAUAAAAAGUCUUUUUUCGCGUGUACAUGUGCCCUUUUGGUGGAUGGUCUGUAACAUUACCUUUUUUUUAAAAGUAAUGUUGUAAGAUGAGUUUGAAAUAUUAAAAUGUUUUGUGAUCAUAUUUUGUGGUAUUGAUACAGUUUAAACUAUGAAUCUAGUCAAUUAUGAAUAUUUUAGGGACUUUUUCCCACUAUUCGUGGCAGGGUAGGUCACUGCCCCAUCAAAUCAUGAUACUACAUGAUUAAAUUUAUAAUCUUACCAGAAUAAAGUAUAUUUGGGAAAAGGAUAUAUAGUUUCAUGAUUAAAGUUAUAAUUUUUUAGAUUUAAGUUGUAUAUUUCUUAGAACAAAAUUGUGAAAAUAAAAAAGUCAUAAUAUUGCAAAAUUAAGGUUGUAUAUUUUCUAGAAAAAAGUGUUCUUCCACUCAGAGAAUAGUUGUAAAUUUAAUAUAUAUUUUUUAUAUACAGUGGGUACAGAAAGUUUUCAGACCCCCUUAAAAUUUUCACUCUGUCAUAUUGCAGCCAUUUGCUAAAAUCAUUUAAGUUCAUUUUCCCCCACAUUAUUUAAAAAGAAAAACUGAAAGGAAAGAAAAUUAACAGACAUUCCUCACAUUCCCCACAGCCAUAAGUAUUCAGACCCUUUGCUCAGUAUUUAGAAGAAGCACCCUUUUGAGCUAAUACAGCCAUGAGUCUUUUUGGGAAUGAUGCAAGUCUUUCACGCCUGGAUUUGGGGAUCCUCUGCCACUCCUCCUUGCAGAUUCUCUCCAUUGGUUGGAUGGUGAACAUUGGUGGGCAGCCAUUUUCAGGUCUUUCCAGAGAUGCUCAAUUGGGUUUAAGUCAGGGCUCUGGCUGGGCCAUUCAAAAACAGUCACAGAGUUGUUCUGAAGCCACUCCUUCGGUAUUUUAGCUGUGUGCUUAGGGUCAUUGUCUUUUUUGAAGGUGAACCUUUGGCCCAGUCUGAGGUUCUGAGCACUCAGGAGAAGGUUUUCGUCCAGGAUAUCCCUGCACAACGCAUUCAUCUUUUCUUCGAUUGCAACCAGUCUCCCUGUCCCUGCAGCUGAAAAACACCCCCACAGCAUGAUGCUGCCACCACCAUGCUUCACUGUUGGGACUGUGUUGGACAGGUGAUGAGCAGUGCCUGGUUUUCACCACACAUACCGCUUAGAAUUAAGGCCAGAAAGUUCUAUCUUGGUCUCAUCAGACCAGAGAAUCUUAUUUCUCACCAUCUUGGGAGUCCUUCAGUUGUUUUUUAGCAAACUGCAUGCGGGCUUUCAUGUGUUUUGCACUGAGGAGAGGCUUCCAUCGGGCCACUCUGCCAAAAAGCCCCGACUGAUGGAGGGCUGCAGUGAUGGUUGACUUUCUAGAACUUUCUCCAACUCCAAACUGCAUCUCUGGAGCUCAGCCAAAGUGAUCUUUGGGUUCUUCUUUACCUCUCUCACCAAGGCUCUUCUCCCCCGAUUGCUCAGUUUGGCUGGACGGCCAGCUCUAGGAAGGGUUCUGAUCGUCCCAAACGUCUUCCAUUUUAGGAUUAUGGAGGCCACUGUGCUCUUAGGAACCUUAAGUGCAGCAGAAGAUUUUUUGUAAGCUUGGCCAGAUCUGUGCCUUGCCACAAUUAUGUCUCUGAGCUCUUCAGGCAGUUCCACCGUAUUAAAAGGCGCAGACUCAGUUACGGGGUUUAUUUCUGUAUUUAACACAUACAUAAAGCGCACCGUAUUAUUGGGCGCAGGCAUGGUAAAACAUAUGCUAGCUUAAAACACACGGUAGCAUGCAUGCAUGCUAAACCAUACGCUAGCGUUUUUUUAAAAGGCAGCAGGAGCCAAAACUGAGUUCGGUUGUACUUUAUUGAAGUAUUUAACAAUGUACUCACGUUAUUCUUUGAUCAAUCCUCAAGUCCUCAUCUUCUGUAUCCAAAAUGAACAGCUGGAGAAGUUCUCCAUCAAACAUGCCAGGUUCCCUCUCGUCAUUGUCGGUCGGAGUCAGUCUCGUUGCCGGGGGGCUGUUCAGCAAUGAUGCCGGCUUUCGCGAAAGCUCGGACAACAGUCAAAGCAGAUACCUUAGCCCAGGCAUCCACAAUCCAUUCGCAUAUGGUGGCGUAACUCGCCCGGCGAUAGACGGAUAGUGGCGCCGUUUCAUAAAACAAAAGCACCAAGACGGACCUCCUUGAAAAUGUUCGAUUUUCAUUUCUUCUGCAAGGGUAGAAUGGUGACUGUAGGGACGCUUCUCCCGGCUGUUCUUUGAUUAUUAAUCCAUUGCCCGAGUUGGAAGACCAACUCGGGCCACCUCGCCUUGUUUUCGCGGAAACUCAGCUUCGUCUUCUUGACUUGGCAAAGCUCGUUUUCCUGCUUCCUCCACUUGCGAACCAUGGAUUCGUUGAUCUUGAAUUCUCUCGCAGCUUCUCGAUUCCAUGUUCCUUUGGGUAACUGACAGCCUGCAGUUUAAACUGUAAUUCGUAAGCGUGUCUCUUCGUAGGUGCCAUUUUCGGGGGGCCUUAGCCAAACCGAUGUUGUUUGCAAAUACCGGCACUAUAUACCAACUGGGGGCGUGCUUUUAGCGUCCUCUUUCAGGCGCACCCUUCCCCCUUUAACGUCCGCACGCUGUUCUCAGUCACGUCCGCCUUUCCUCUAUAUUAGCAGCGUGUCGGCAGGAAAUGCUCCCAGUCAGUCAAGCGGAGCGCUCAUCAAAGUCACACAACAGCAUUUACAGAUUUUGGAACUCGGUUUUAGAGAAAAUGUAAGACUUUUAAGUGCGCCUUAUGGUCGUGAAAAUACGGUAAAUGAUUUUAACAAAUGGCUGCAAUAUAACAAAGAGUGAAAAAUUUAAGGGGGUCUGAAAACUUUCCGUACCUACUGUAUAUUUAAUGCAUGGUUGUCUAGGUAAUGUUUUUAAAGAACCAUAAUUGUAUUGAAAUAUAAUAUUCUGUAUAUUUAUUAUUUUAUUAUUGUGAUUGAUGUUUUAGGAUUGAUUUUUAUUUAUGUACAACACUUUGUUGCAGCUUUUGAAGUGCGCCAGAAAUAAAGUAGAGUUGAGUAUAUUUUCAACUCAAGGUAUAUUAUUUUAGAUUAAAAAGUUGUAAUUUAUGAUCUUAAAGUUAUAUAUUAUCGAGGACAAAUCACAAUCACAAAUUCUGUCUAGCAACAUGCAAAAACAAGUGACUAAGUAUUAUUUUGUAUUUUAAUGUUCUUCUUAUUACUAAGCAACUAACUAGCAACCCUUUAUUGCUCAGUGACUGUUUUUCCUCAAUGUCUUUAUGUCUCAAAAGUGUUCUCUGUUGUCGUACAAGAGCGGCUCCAACUACCGGAGACAAAUUUGUGUGUUUUUUUGGACAUACUUGGCAAAUAAAGAUGAUUCUGAUUCUUG